GACAGAGGUGCCGAGCGUUAGGCGGAAUCACUGGGCUUAAAGCGUGUGUAGGCGGGCGGGCAAGUACCUUGUGAAAUCCCACGGCUCAACCGUGGAACGGCUGGGUAUACUGCCUGUCUUGAGCCAACUAGGGGCGAGCGGAACAGACGGUGGAGCGGUGAAAUGCGUAGAUAUCGUCUGGAACGCCGAAGGUGAUAACAGCUCGCUGGGGUUGUGCUGACGCUGAGACACGAAAGCCAGGGGAGCGAACGGG
rnacentral:rRNA from 1 species